UACAGAGGGUGCAAGCGUUAAUCGGAAUUACUGGGCGUAAAGCGUGCGUAGACGGUUACAUAAGUCGGGUGUGAAAGCCCCGGGCUCAACCUGGGAAUUGCAUUCGAGACUGCGUAGCUAGGGUGCGGAAGAGGGAAGCGGAAUUUCCGGUGUAGCGGUGAAAUGCGUAGAUAUCGGAAGGAACACCAGUGGCGAAAGCGGCGCACUGGACCUUUUCUGACGCUGAGGCGCGAAAGCCAGGGGAGCAAACGGG
rnacentral:rRNA from 1 species